rnacentral:rRNA from 1 species
UUGAGGCGUGGCUUCCGGAGCUAACGCGUUAAGUCGACCGCCUGGGGAGUACGGCCGCAAGGUUAAAACUCAAAUGAAUUGACGGGGGCCCGCACAAGCGGUGGAGCAUGUGGUUUAAUUCGAUGCAACGCGAAGAACCUUACCUACUCUUGACAUCCACAGAAUUCGCUAGAGAUAGCUUAGUGCCUUCGGGAACUGUGAGACAGGUGCUGCAUGGCUGUCGUCAGCUCGUGUUGUGAAAUGUUGGGUUAAGUCCCGCAACGAGCGCAACCCUUAUCCUUUGUUGCCAGCACGUAAUGGUGGGAACUCAAAGGAGACUGCCGGUGAUAAACCGGAGGAAGGUGGGGAUGACGUCAAGUCAUCAUGGCCCUUACGAGUAGGGCUACACACGUGCUACAAUGGCGUAUACAAAGAGAAGCGAACUCGCGAGAGCCAGCGGACCUCAUAAAGUACGUCGUAGUCCGGAUCGGAGUCUGCAACUCGACUCCGUGAAGUCGGAAUCGCUAGUAAUCGUAGAUCAGAAUGCUACGGUGAAUACGUUCCCGGGCCUUGCACUCCCCGCCCGUCAAAA